rnacentral:rRNA from 1 species
CAGUCGCCGCGGUAAUGCGUAGGUGGCAAGCGUUGUCCGGAAUUAUUGGGCGUAAAGGGCUCGCAGGCGGUUUCUUAAGUCUGAUGUGAAAGCCCCCGGCUCAACCGGGGAGGGUCAUUGGAAACUGGGAAACUUGAGUGCAGAAGAGGAGAGUGGAAUUCCACGUGUAGCGGUGAAAUGCGUAGAGAUGUGGAGGAACACCAGUGGCGAAGGCGACUCUCUGGUCUGUAACUGACGCUGAGGAGCGAAAGCGUGGGGAGCAAACAGGAUUAGAUACCCGUGUAGUCCCUGUCUCUUAUAC